CAGUUGGUCAAAUGUAUUCUUCUCAUCUCAGUUCCUUUUAUACAGGAAACUAAUAUAGCUCAGAGUCCAGGGAUGAAGGCUUUAAACCUGGAGGGUGCCUGGUGCUUCCUGAGAAUCUCAUGGGGGAAAUGAUUCAGCUGUCUACGUCACUGGGGAAGGACAACUGAAGCUUUGGGAUUGGGGAGAUCUGAAUGUGCAGGCUAAAGGACAAGGAAAGAAAAGCAAUGGAUGAAGACUUCUGUUGUGGAUCAGAGCUGCUAUUGACCAGGUACCAGCAAGCAAAUCCAUGAUAAGUAUUUGUAUCUCCACUUUGGAUGCCCAAGAGACAUUGAUAGCUUUUGAGCCAAUCAUCUGUUGGGCUGACCCAAAAAAUAACCUCACUGGAGUAGGAACCUUGUCCUUCUCUCAUCUUCCUACUGUUUGAUAAUUCAUACGGAGGUUACUGCCAGAGUAAACUGAAAUUGGAGGUGGUUUAUGUUAAUGCUGCAGCCUGUAGACUGCACUUGCUCAGGAGUUUAUCCAGGAGGAUCAGCUGAUCCCGCUGCAGGAUGGUGACCUCUGGCAGAGACACAGGACAGAGACAGCUGCUUCAGCUCUCCCAGAUAAACCUGCUUAAGGCGCUCUUUGAAAUCAGAAAUAUUUACUGUGUGGGAACUAUUAAUGAAGCCCAGUGGAAUGGUGACAGGAGGGUUACACCUGGGUGUCUUCAUAUGAAGAAUGCAUAUCACGGUCCUGCUCUGAUGAUAUAGGCUCAGUGAAAUGAAGAAGACAAGCAAGUUUUCUGCUGUUAUACACCAUGGAAAGUGGAUACACAGGUUCCUUCUGAGCCCUAAUGAAGAAGUCUGGAGCUGGAAACACAACAUUUUGAUGUGCAAUAUGGCACGUUUAAGAAGCUAGCUCAACAUGUCCACAAUCUCAAAUGGAAAUGCAUUGCUGUGUGUCCAUUUCUGAAGUUCUGACUACUGUAGCAGUCCACUGCAGCGGGCGGUACAUGGCCAUGUGUCACUGUUACGGAGGUGCUGCCGUCGUGGAGUUCUCAUGAACUUCCAGCAAUGACUCCAUAUGGGAAUAAUUUCAUUGUGAGAAGAAGGCUUCCA
rnacentral:lncRNA from 1 species